GGAGNCUACACAUGCAGUCGACGGCAGCACAGAAGAGCUUGCUCUUUGGGUGGCGAGUGGCGGACGGGUGAGUAAUGUCUGGGAAACUGCCCGAUGGAGGGGGAUAACUACUGGAAACGGUAGCUAAUACCGCAUAACGUCGCGAGACCAAAGUGGGGGACCUUCGGGCCUCACACCAUCGGAUGUGCCCAGAUGGGAUUAGCUAGUAGGUGGGGUAAUGGCUCACCUAGGCGACGAUCCCUAGCUGGUCUGAGAGGAUGACCANNGCCACANCUGGAACUGAGACACGGUCCAGACUCCUACGGGAGGCAGCAGUGGGGAAUAUUGCACAAUGGGCGCAAGCCUGAUGCAGCCAUGCCGCGUGGUAUGAAGAAGGCCUUCGGGUUGUAAAGUACUUUCAGCGGGGAGGAAGGCGGUGAGGUUAAUAACCUUGCCCGAUUGACGUUACCCGCAGAAGAAGCACCGGGCUAACUCCGUGCCAGCAGCCGCGGUAAUACGGAGGGUGCAAGCGUUAAUCGGAAUUACUGGGCGUAAAGCGCACGCAGGCGGUCUGUUAAGUCAGAUGUGAAAUCCCCGGGCUUAACCUGGGAACUGCAUUUGAAACUGGCAGGCUUGAGUCUCGUAGAGGGGGGUAGAAUUCCAGGUGUAGCGGUGAAAUGCGUAGAGAUCUGGAGGAAUACCGGUGGCGAAGGCGGCCCCCUGGACGAAGACUGACGCUCAGGUGCGAAAGCGUGGGGGAGCAAACAGGAUUAGAUACCCUGGUAGUCCACGCCGUAAACGAUGUCGACUUGGAGGUUGUGCCCUUGAGGCGUGGCUUCCGGAGCUAACGCGUUAAGUCGACCGCCUGGGGAGUACGGCCGCAAGGUUAAAACUCAAAUGAAUUGACGGGGGCCCGCACAAGCGGUGGAGCAUGUGGUUUAAUUCGAUGCAACGCGAAGAACCUUACCUGGCCUUGACAUCCAGAGAACUUAGCAGAGAUGCUUUGGUGCCUUCGGGAACUCUGAGACAGGUGCUGCAUGGCUGUCGUCAGCUCGUGUUGUGAAAUGUUGGGGUUAAGUCCCGCAACGAGCGCAACCCUUAUCCUUUGUUGCCAGCGGUUCGGCCGGGAACUCAAAGGAGACUGCCGGUGAUAAACCGGAGGAAGGUGGGGAUGACGUCAAGUCAUCAUGGCCCUUACGGCCAGGGCUACACACGUGCUACAAGGGCGCAUACAAAGAGANNNAGNNCGACCUCGCGAGAGCAAGCGGACCUCAUAAAGUGCGUCGUAGUCCGGAUUGGAGUCUGCAACUCGACUCCAUGAAGUCGGAAUCGCUAGUAAUCGUAGAUCAGAAUGCUACGGUGAAUACGUUCCCGGGCCUUGUACACACCGCCCGUCACACCAUGGGAGUGGGUUGCAAAAGAAGUAGGUAGCUUAACCUUCGGGAGGGCGCUACCANUAUGAUNA
rnacentral:rRNA from 1 species